rnacentral:rRNA from 1 species
UACGUAGGGUGCAAGCGUUAAUCGGAAUUACUGGGCGUAAAGCGUGCGCAGGCGGUUUUGUAAGUUUGGCGUGAAAUCCCCGGGCUCAACCUGGGAAUGGCGAUGAAGACUGCAAGGCUAGAAUCUGGCUGAGGGGGGUGGAAUUCCGCGUGUAGCAGUGAAAUGCGUAGAGAUGCGGAGGAACACCGAUGGCGAAGGCAGCCCCCUGGGCUAACACUGACGCUCAGGCACGAAAGCGUGGGGAGCAAACAGG